UCGCUUGCUGCCCUCAGCUUCAUAACCCUCCCCAGCUGACCCAGCACCUCUGCCCUCCGGAAGCCAAGCUCCAUCUGAUUCCCUCCACCUAAUCCCAUUCCUGAGACCAACCCCCUCCCACCCAGCGAUGGAGGGAGGCACCUCCCGUGAGAAGCGAUGCCUUCGUGGAGCAGAGCAGGCAGGGUGUGGCCCAAGAGUGCUGGCCUUGCCACCUAUUACUGCCCUUAGAAGGAUUAGGGGCAUCAGUGUUGUGAAACUUCCCAAAUUACGGCUGCCCGCCCCCAGGAGCCCACGGAGGUGCAAUAUGUUUUGUCCUUUCUUCCAAGAAUAGCCACGUUCUUGGAUCCAGUGAGGAAUGGCUUCCUGUACUCUGCAGAUGAGAGAGGUGGAUGAAGACUCCAGGGUCAAGAUCUCAACGCGAACAGGAUCUGCAAUUCACUUCUCUUCUACAGCAUUCUGUGGCAUUAGUCAGUCCAUUCCUGGCUUUGGACUCUUGUCUCCACGAUUGUCAAGCGGGACCUAGGAUCUUCUCGGUCACCCUUGCAGCAGCCUUUCCUCGCCAAACUGCAAUACCAGGGCCGCCUUGAAUGGACCACCGGCAAAGGUGUUCGUCCUCGCUCCAAGACGUGUCAGAGCCCUGAAGCCUCCAGACACCUUCCUUUAAAGGAGGAAGUGGCACAAGAUGAAACAUCGGAUUUGGGAGAAGAACGGAAGGCUGGAGUCCACAGUACCUGCAGGCCAGCUCUCAGGGACUGAGGUUCAAGAAC
rnacentral:lncRNA from 1 species